rnacentral:rRNA from 1 species
CCUACGGGUGGCUGCAGUGGGGAAUAUUGCACAAUGGGGGAAACCCUGAUGCAGCGAUGCCGCGUGGAGGAAGAAGGUUUUCGGAUUGUAAACUGCUUUUAUCAGGGACGAUAAUGACGGUAACUGAAGAAUAAGCGCCGGCUAACUACGGGCCAGCAGCCGCGGGUAUACGUAGGGAGCGAGCGUUGUCCGGAAUUACUGGGGGAAAAGGGACAGGAGGGGGGGCGGCAAGUCAGAUGUGAAACCUGGGGGUGCAACUUUCAGACUGAAUUUGAAACUGCUGUUCUUGAGUGCAGUAGAGGUAAGCGGAAUUCCUAGUGUAGCGGUGAAAUGCGUAGAUAUUAGGAGGAACAUCGGUGGCGAAGGCGGCUUACUGGGCUUUUACUGACGCUGAGGCUCGAAAGCGUGGGGAGCAAACAGGAUUAGAUACCCCAGUAGUC